CAGCAGCCACGGUAAUACGUAGGUGGCAAGCGUUGUCCGGAAUUAUUGGGCGUAAAGGGCUCGCAGGCGGUUUCUUAAGUCUGAUGUGAAAGCCCCCGGCUCAACCGGGGAGGGUCAUUGGAAACUGGGAAACUUGAGUGCAGAAGAGGAGAGUGGAAUUCCACGUGUAGCGGUGAAAUGCGUAGAGAUGUGGAGGAACACCAGUGGCGAAGGCGACUCUCUGGUCUGUAACUGACGCUGAGGAGCGAAAGCGUGGGGAGCGAACAGGAUUAGAUACCCCCGUAGUCCCUGUCUCUUAUAA
rnacentral:rRNA from 1 species